rnacentral:rRNA from 1 species
UAGUCCACGCCGUAAACGAUGUCGACUUGGAGGUUGUUCCCUUGAGGAGUGGCUUCCGGAGCUAACGCGUUAAGUCGACCGCCUGGGAGUACGGCCGCAAGGUUAAAACUCAAAUGAAUUGACGGGGGCCCGCACAAGCGGUGGAGCAUGUGGUUUAAUUCGAUGCAACGCGAAGAACCUUACCUACUCUUGACAUCCAGAGAACUUAGCAGAGAUGCUUUGGUGCCUUCGGGAACUCUGAGACAGGUGCUGCAUGGCUGUCGUCAGCUCGUGUUGUGAAAUGUUGGGUUAAGUCCCGCAACGAGCGCAACCCUUAUCCUUUGUUGCCAGCGGUUAGGCCGGGAACUCAAAGGAGACUGCCAGUGAUAAACUGGAGGAAGGUGGGGAUGACGUCAAGUCAUCAUGGCCCUUACGAGUAGGGCUACACACGUGCUACAAUGGCGCAUACAAAGAGAAGCGACCUCGCGAGAGCAAGCGGACCUCAUAAAGUGCGUCGUAGUCCGGAUUGGAGUCUGCAACUCGACUCCAUGAAGUCGGAAUCGCUAGUAAUCGUAGAUCAGAAUGCUACGGUGAAUACGUUCCCGGGCCUUGUACACACCGCCCGUCACACCAUGGGAGUGGGUUGCAAAGGAAGUAGGUAGCUUAACCUUCGGGAGGGCGCUUACCACUUUGUGAUUCAUGACUGGG